rnacentral:tRNA from 1 species
GCAUCGGUGGUUCAGUGGUAGAAUGCUACGCGGGCGGCCCGGGUUCGAUUCCCGGCCGAUGCA